rnacentral:rRNA from 1 species
GAUGAACGCUGGCGGCGUGCCUAAUACAUGCAAGUCGAGCGAAGCGGGCACGGGUGAGUAUCACGUGGAUAACCCCCUCUCAGACUGGGCUAACCUCCGGAAACCGGAGCUAAACCGGAUACUUAUAGCUUGUUCCAUGCUGCCUUAGCUAGUGGGUAAGGUAAAGGCUAACCAAGGCAACGAUGCAUCGCCGACCUGAGAGGGUGAUCGGCAACACUGGAACUGAGACACGGACCAGACUCCUACGGGAGGCAGCAGUAGGGAAUGUUCCACAAUGGGCGAAAGCCGGACGGAGCAACGCCGCGUGAAUGAUGAAGGUCUUCGGAUCGUAAAACACUGUUAUUAGGGAAGCGGUACCUAAGCAGAAAGCAACGGCUAACUACGUGCCAGCAGCCGCGGUAAGUC